UACGUAGGUGGCAAGCGUUGUCCGGAUUUACUGGGCGUAAAGGGCUCGUAGGCGGCCAACUAAGUCAUACGUGAAAUCCCUCAGCUUAACUGGGGAACUGCGUGUGAUACUGGAUGGCUUGGAUUUGGGAGAGGGAUGCGGAAUUCCAGGUGUAGCGGUGAAAUGCGUAGAUAUCUGGAGGAACACCGGUGGCGAAGGCGGCAUCCUGGACCAAUAUUGACGCUGAGGAGCGAAAGCCAGGGGAGCAAACGGG
rnacentral:rRNA from 1 species